UAAAAGGCAGAGAGGCUUUCUCAGAAACAAGUUUUACCACUGUAAUGUGGUUUUACCACUUUGGUCACAGGCAAAAACCUCUGAGUCCUCAAAAAGCUCUCUAUUCCCACACAGGUCAAGGCCAAACUGCACAGCAAAGCUAUGGCCCGGGGCGCUGAUUUUGGUAGACACCGUGCCACCGCUGCUGAGCACUGACCUCGAGCACGAUCUCCUCCAGGAUCUGGGCAAGUUUUAGCCAAGUCAUUGAAACAAAUAAACACUGUGGUAUGGGAAAAGGCUACUGUCUACCUAAUGCAGUGCCCUCUGCAGGAAGACAAAAAUCCUCCCUGCUCACCAGCCUGUUCAAUCUUAUCACUGAUCAGAGAUGAAGAUUUCUGCUCCAACUGACAACUUGACGUCUAAAAAAAAGGAGAUUUCAUCUACUUGGAAAGUGAUUAUUUUGUUUAUAUCCACCUGCGAUUCUUCAUCAGAUCAGAUCUGGAUUAUGCCCAUUCUGCAAUUUGGGAGAGGAAUGGCACCCUGCAAGCUCAGGGCUGCUGGUGAGGCCAGCUGCAGGCCUGGACUUGGCUGCUGGCUCGUUUGGGCUGUCUCUCUGACACGCUGAUCACCUCUCCAAAGAUCUGCUCUAAGAAAGACAGUGGUUGUCAUGGUAUCAAAGGAAAAAAUGUCAUGAACUGAACCAACAUCCUGGCAUCCAGCUCGGCCUAAUCCACCAUGUGCAUACCUGUGCGUGUGACUGCGGCCCAACCAUGCUCUCAGGAGGAUCACCAAGAGCCACGCUGCACGACCCAACCACUGCGUCAGCACCUUGGCCUGAGGACUUUGCAUGCGGUUGGCCUGUGCUCAGGGCUUCAUUUCCCAUCUGCAGGUGUGAAACCACAGACCCUUCUCUGGGAAAAAUGCAUACACGAACACCACCGGCCUCCCCUUGGCUGACGGUCCUGAGGUACCCUAGCUCCCCCCACACUGCGACAAGCUCAGUUUGUCUUCGACUAUUGUCACAUAUUUCAUGACACUGCUGAUUGAAGCUCUUAUUUGCAGUGUGUAGAGAAGGAAAUACUGAUGUUAAGGUACAAGAAGGCUUUUUAACACAACCUCUCUGAACAUUAGCAAGUUAAAUGCUUCUUAACAGCACAUGGGAAACUGUUAAGGGUGGGUUGAGACCACUGAUGAGGAAAGAGCUAAAUGCGAAAAACUUAUUCCGGUACAUUUUUCCUUUUCUAGAAAUCUUCAAAGCCAGUUGGCUUUGAUUUAGUUGCUCACCUAUCUUAUGCACCUUUGUAUUAGCUGGUUCUUUCCCUCAGACAUUCUGUUUUCUGCUGUUGUGGAGGGCAGAGGGUAGAAGCAAUGCUUGCAGAAGUACAGAUUGCAACAUAAUACCAGAUUUUUCUCUCCUA